CGUGUAGGCGGUUUUAUAAGUCUGAUGUGAAAGCCCUGGGCUCAACCCCGGGAAGUGCAUUGGAUACUGUAAGACUUGAAUACGGGAGAGGGCAGUGGAAUUCCUAGUGUAGGAGUGAAAUCCGUAGAUAUUAGGAGGAACACCGGUGGCGAAGGCGGCUGCCUGGACCGAUAUUGACGCUGAGACGCGAAAGCGUGGGUAGCAAACA
rnacentral:rRNA from 1 species